CAGCAGCCACGGUAAUACGAAGGGGGCUAGCGUUGCUCGGAAUUACUGGGCGUAAAGGGCGCGUAGGCGGACAGUUCAGUCGGGGGUGAAAGCCCGGGGCUCAACCUCGGAAUUGCCUUCGAUACUGGCUGUCUUGAGUAUGAGAGAGGUGUGUGGAACUCCGAGUGUAGAGGUGAAAUUCGUAGAUAUUCGGAAGAACACCAGUGGCGAAGGCGACACACUGGCUCAUUACUGACGCUGAGGCGCGAAAGCGUGGGGAGCAAACAGGAUUAGAUACCCCUGUAGUCCCUGUCUCUUAUAC
rnacentral:rRNA from 1 species